GAAGGUGGCCUGUGAGGGUUGCUGGAGGUAUCAGAAGUGCGAAUGCUGACAUAAGUAACGAUAAAGCGGGUGAAAAGCCCGCUCGCCGGAAGACCAAGGGUUCCUGUCCAACGUUAAUCGGGGCAGGGUGAGUCGACCCCUAAGGCGAGGCCGAAAGGCGUAGUCGAUGGGAAACGGGUUAAUAUUCCCGUACUUGGUGUUACUGCGAAGGGGGGACGGAGAAGGCUAUGUUGGCCGGGCGACGGUUGUCCCGGUUUAAGCGUGUAGGUGUGUGUUCCAGGUAAAUCCGGUUCACUUUAACACUGAGGCGUGACGACGAGGCACUACGGUGCUGAAGCAACAAAUGCCCUGCUUCCAGGAAAAGCCUCUAAGCAUCAGGUAACAUCAAAUCGUACCCCAAACCGACACAGGUGGUCAGGUAGAGAAUACCAAGGCGCUUGAGAGAACUCGGGUGAAGGAACUAGGCAAAAUGGUGCCGUAACUUCGGGAGAAGGCACGCUGACACGUAGGUGAAGUGAUUUACUCAUGGAGCUGAAGUCAGUCGAAGAUACCAGCUGGCUGCAACUGUUUAUUAAAAACACAGCACUGUGCAAACACGAAAGUGGACGUAUACGGUGUGACGCCUGCCCGGUGCCGGAAGGUUAAUUGAUGGGGUCAGCGCAAGCGAAGCUCCUGAUCGAAGCCCCGGUAAACGGCGGCCGUAACUAUAACGGUCCUAAGGUAGCGAAAUUCCUUGUCGGGUAAGUUCCGACCUGCACGAAUGGCGUAAUGAUGGCCAGGCUGUCUCCACCCGAGACUCAGUGAAAUUGAACUCGCUGUGAAGAUGCAGUGUACCCGCGGCAAGACGGAAAGACCCCGUGAACCUUUACUAUAGCUUGACACUGAACAUUGAGCCUUGAUGUGUAGGAUAGGUGGGAGGCUUUGAAGUGUGGACGCCAGUCUGCAUGGAGCCGACCUUGAAAUACCACCCUUUAAUGUUUGAUGUUCUAACGUGGACCCGUUACCCGGGUUGCGGACAGUGUCUGGUGGGUAGUUUGACUGGGGCGGUCUCCUCCUAAAGAGUAACGGAGGAGCACGAAGGUUGGCUAAUCCUGGUCGGACAUCAGGAGGUUAGUGCAAUGGCAUAAGCCAGCUUGACUGCGAGCGUGACGGCGCGAGCAGGUGCGAAAGCAGGUCAUAGUGAUCCGGUGGUUCUGAAUGGAAGGGCCAUCGCUCAACGGAUAAAAGGUACUCCGGGGAUAACAGGCUGAUACCGCCCAAGAGUUCAUAUCGACGGCGGUGUUUGGCACCUCGAUGUCGGCUCAUCACAUCCUGGGGCUGAAGUAGGUCCCAAGGGUAUGGCUGUUCGCCAUUUAAAGUGGUACGCGAGCUGGGUUUAGAACGUCGUGAGACAGUUCGGUCCCUAUCUGCCGUGGGCGCUGGAGAACUGAGGGGGGCUGCUCCUAGUACGAGAGGACCGGAGUGGACGCAUCACUGGUGUUCGGGUUGUCAUGCCAAUGGCACUGCCCGGUAGCUAAAUGCGGAAGAGAUAAGUGCUGAAAGCAUCUAAGCACGAAACUUGCCCCGAGAUGAGUUCUCCCUGAGACUUAGAGUCUCCUGAAGGAACGUUGAAGACGACGACGUUGAUAGGCCGGGUGUGUAAGCGCAGCGAUGCGUUGAGCUAACCGGUACUAAUGAACCGUGAGGCUUAACCUUACAACGCCG
rnacentral:rRNA from 1 species